AUAUUGGACAAUUGUGGCAACCCUGAUCCAGCCAUCCCGCGUGUGUCAAGAAGGUCUUCGGAUUGUAAGGCACUUUACGGUGGGAGGAUGGGCGUUAGGCUAAUACCCUGAAGUUUUGACGUUACCAACAUAAUAAUCACCGGCUAACUUCGUGCCAGCAGCCGCGGUAAUACAGAGGGUGCAAGCGUUAAUCGGAAUUCCUGGGCGUAAAGCGCGCGUAGGUGGUUCAGUAAGAUGGGUGAGAAAUCCCCGGGCUUAACCUGGGAACUGCUUUCAUAACUGCUGAGCUAGAGUACGGUAGAGGGUAGUGGAAUUUCCUGUGUAGCGGUGAAAUGCGUAGAUAUAGGAAGGAACACCAGUGGCGAAGGCGACUACCUGGACUGAUACUGACACUGAGGUGCGAAAGCGUGGGGAGCGAACA
rnacentral:rRNA from 1 species